UCCGCAGGCGGGCAAUUAAGUCAGAGGUGAAAUCCCACAGCUCAACUGUGGAACUGCCUUUGAUACUGGUUGUCUUGAGUUAUAGUGAAGUAGAUAGAAUAUGUAGUGUUGCGGUGAAAUGCAUAGAUAUUACAUAGAAUACCGAUUGCGAAGGCAGUCUACUAACUAUAUACUGACGCUGAUGGACGAAAGCGUGGGGAGCGAACAGGAUUAGAUACCCUGGUAGUCC
rnacentral:rRNA from 1 species